rnacentral:misc_RNA from 1 species
AUGGUAUUCCAUCGUUUUAAGUAUGGCAAUGUUGCUUUAAGCCAUAGUUAAUAAUGUAAAAAUCCUAAAAUCUAAAAUUGUACCUACUAUUAAACAAAGCUUAAUUAAAGCUGAAGCUGAAUACUACCAAACACCUACUAAAAGUUUAUUUUUUCUAAAUUUUAAACUAAAAAUUUACCUCAACUUCAAAAACUUUUUCAUAAAAAUAAAAGCAAAA